AAAGCCUGACGCAGCGACGCCGCGUGAGGGAUGAAGGUUUUCGGAUCGUAAACCUCUGUCAGAAGGGAAGAAACCGCAACGUGCUAAUCAGCGGUGCCUUGACGGUACCUUCAAAGGAAGCACCGGCUAACUCCGUGCCAGCAGCCGCGGUAAUACGAAGGGGGCUAGCGUUGUUCGGAAUUACUGGGCGUAAAGCGCACGUAGGCGGAUCGAUCAGUUAGGGGUGAAGUCCCAGGGCUCAACCCUGGAACUGCCUCUAAUACUGUCGAUCUCGAGUUCGAGAGAGGUGAGUGGAAUUCCGAGUGUAGAGGUGAAAUUCGUAGAUAUUCGGAGGAACACCAGUGGCGAAGGCGGCUCACUGGCUCGAUACUGACGCUGAGGUGCGAAAGCGUGGGGAGCAAACA
rnacentral:rRNA from 1 species